rnacentral:rRNA from 1 species
UACGUAGGGUGCGAGCGUUGUCCGGAAUUAUUGGGCGUAAAGAGCUCGUAGGCGGUGUGUCACGUCGGCCGUGAAAACCUACAGCUUAACUGUGGGCUUGCUUUCGAUACGGGCAGACUUGAGGCAUGCAGGGGAGAACGGAAUUCCUGGUGUAGCGGUGAAAUGCGCAGAUAUCAGGAGGAACACCGGUGGCGAAGGCGGCAUCCUGGACCGGCAUUGACGCUGAUGAGCGAAAGCUAGGGGAGCAAACGGG